rnacentral:rRNA from 1 species
GCGUGGAGUGAUUUGUCAGGUUAAUUCCGUUAACGAACGAGAUCUCGGCUUGCUAACUAGUGCGUUCGGUCACCUGUAUGGGUGAAGCGUCUCUGGUCGGGGUGGCUUCGGCUGUCCUCAUCGGGGGCGUGGAUCCCUGGCUGACUGUUGGUCACUUCUUAGAAGGACUACUUAUGGAGAGUAAGUGGAAGCUCGAGGCAAUAACA